AAAUGGUUUGGCAGAAGUACAUAUUGAUGACCUAUCCUCGAAGGGAUGGAAGAGGACAUGCAAUGGAAUAAUUUUUCAUAGCACAUCGUACCACCGCCAAUUGUACCGUCAGUCAGCCCCAUUUUAUCCUAAGGAUAACACUGCAAUAUUAAGAGAAGAUGCAUCCCUCUUCCCAAGCUGCAUAACUAAGGCCCCUUGCAGAUGAGCGUGUCCGGAUGCGUUCAGUGAAAACUGCGCAAUUUCGCAAAUAAAGCCAUUCAGUUUUGUUUUCGAUCGUGUUCAGUUGUUCUUUUUAUUGCACGGGUGCAAUGCGAUUUACUGCGUUUUGAUAAAAAACAAAAUGUAUACAAACAACAUCUUUUAGCAACCAUCCGUGAAAAUCGCAUCCGCACUUGUUGCGGAUGCGAUUUUCACGCAGCCCUAUUCACUUCAAUGGGGCCAGCGUUGCAUGAAAAAGCGCUGAAUAUAGAACAUGCUGCGAUUUUCACGCAACGCUAAAGUGAUGCGAGAAAACCACUCGCUCAUGUACAGAGACCCAUUUAAAAGAAUGCGUCCGGAUUCAAGUGCGGGUGCGAUGCGUUUGCAUCACGCAUUGCGCCCGUGCGGAAUUCUAGCUCGUGUGAAAGGGGCCUAAGAGUUUGCCAUACAGGAGUCUUGGAAAGAGCCUUGAGGCUGUAAUGGUGGCCAUAUAGAUUGUCAGCAAGCCUUCCCACAACUAGAUCUAGCCAAGAAAACAGCUGAACCUUAAAGGUCUUCUCAAAAAGCGACUCGUCUAGGUGAUUUCUUCACGUAUGACUGUAAUUUAAAGACAUUUCAAUAAUAGGUAAGAAAUUUAGCAUUCAGGAAAACCAUUGUAUUCUGAUGGGAGUGACAUCCCCCGGGAAACUGGAACGAGAGGAGACAGACUGUAGAAAUCCAGCAGUGACGCACCAGACGAGGACUCUGGAAC